UCUGGCCUCGUAGAGAGAUUGACCUCAUAUUUGCUGAAGCGGAUUUGCAACAAAAGUUCUUCGGUAAGAUCUAGGACGCCCUAAAUUUCAUCUUUGAUCUGAUCUUCUAGACAAAAUAUGUGGGCAUCAUCCUGCAACAGGUCCCGAGGUUAAACAAAAAAAAAAAAAAAACACUUCAUACACCUAGGAUUAUAAACUAACAGUUUGCAAAUACUAACACCAUACCUAAGUAAAACCUCUUACAUGAAAAGACCAUGCAAGCUUCCAGAUAAUUCGUAUCUAUAUACGGCUCCCAACUCAGCAACUCGAUUAGGAAAUUCAAGAUAUGAGUGAGGCUUCCUUUUGUAAACCAAGAUAUGAUAGGGGCAGUUCAUCGGUAGA
rnacentral:lncRNA from 1 species